rnacentral:lncRNA from 1 species
GGUGGCGUGGCGGCGCCUCCGACCCCGGCGCGGGAGCGGCCCUGCGCGCCCUCGGCCCGCGCUUCUCCUCCGCCUCUCGCGGCUCCCGCCACUCUUCCUUUUAAACAGUGAAUUUAGCAGCAAAGCUCCCUCCCGAAGUUCUAAAGCUGCGCUGAUGCUGAGUAGAUAUGAGCUGGGGCGGUGCUUGUCUGUUUCUCCAUCCUUAACACGUCCUAGGGUUCUGAUCCAGUAGGUCUGAGAACCUCGCCGGUUAUGCUGCUGCUGCUGUCUGUGGACCCCGCUUGGGAGAAGUAAGCAAGUAAGUGAUAUAAUUUAAAAGGUGUAGAAGAAAGACCAAGAACAUUUGCUGAAAUUGACUCAGAAAAUUUGGGAGAUAAGCGGAUAGAAUAUGAACAAGAAAAGAUCACCUCGAUUGAGUCUUCAAAUAAUUGUGAGACGUGUUUAUUUAGAAAGACACUCCUGGGGAUCCAUAUGUUCAAAGAGAAGAAGAAUGAACUCAAAGGUGAUAUCAUUGUGAUGCAUUUGAUUAAUGGAAAGGACAACAUUAAUGGUUAUAGGAAAAGUGCUUUUACAUAACUUGAAAAGGUAGAACAGACACAACCUCAUAACAUUUCAUUGACCAGGAAUGUAUUUUACCCUGAGGCUCAAGAGCUUUAAAGCCACAUAAAGUAUUUCAUUGUCUUGUGAUUCAUAAUGCUGGCGCAUCUUAAAUCACACUCAACAUACAGUGCUUGUUUCCCCACGUCAUCUUCCCACAGAGAAACUGAGGAACACGAAGGCAAGUGACAUUCUCUGGAGUAAAAUCCUUCACUUCUAUAUUAAAUAUUUUUGUUCGUUUCUUGUUUGG